rnacentral:SRP_RNA from 13 species
UGCCGGGACAAACAGCCAUAGCGCCCGUGUCGGCUGGAAGAGUGCUGCGUUUGUUUCUGGGAGGAGGGAGAGGCAUGGGCGAGAGUCUGCUCACGAGACUGGUCAAGGCUGGCAA